rfam:Toxocara canis scaffold784, whole genome shotgun sequence.
GCGGCAAUAGCUCAGUGGUAGAGCCCCACUUUUCGUGCGGGGAGAUCCGGGUUCGAUUCCCGGCUGCUUCC